rnacentral:rRNA from 1 species
CAGCCGCCGCGGGAAUACGGAGGGGGCUAGCGUUGUUCGGAAUUACUGGGCGUAAAGCGCACGUAGGCGGCUUGGUAAGUUAGAGGUGAAAGCCCGGAGCUCAACUCCGGAAUUGCCUUUAAGACUGCCGAGCUAGCAGGUGAGAGAGGUAAGUGGAAUUCCGAGUGUAGAGGUGAAAUUCGUAGAUAUUCGGAAGAACACCAGUGGCGAAGGCGGCUUACUGGCUCAUACUGGACGCUGAGGUGCGAAAGAGUGGGGAGCAAACAGGAUUAGAUACCCCUGUAGUCCCUGUCUCUUAUAA